rnacentral:rRNA from 1 species
CAGUCGCCGCGGUAAUACAGAGGCCUCAAGCGUUGUUCGGAUUCAUUGGGCGUAAAGGGUGCGUAGGUGGCUUGGUAAGUUGAAGGUGAAAUCUCGGGGCUUAACCCCGAAACUGCCUUCAAUACUGCUAGGCUCGAGGACUGUAGAGGAGAAUGGAAUUCACGGUGUAGCAGUGAAAUGCGUAGAUAUCGUGAGGAAGACCAGUGGCGAAGGCGAUUCUCUGGGCAGUUCCUGACACUGAGGCACGAAGGCCAGGGGAGCAAACGGGAUUAGAUACCCCUGUAGUCCCUGUCUCUUAUAC